AAGUCGUAACAAGGUUUCCGUAGGUGAACCUGCGGAAGGAUCAUUAAACGUUCCAACGUAUAUACAAACCGCGAACCGUUUUAACCCACCACACUGAAGAUUGUAAAGGAGGAGGGCACCGAGGGUGUCGUUGGGGGGACCGGACUUAGUAAGCCGAUGGAUCCUAGUGUGGAUUCGUAGGGCUGAACGCGUCUGGACUCCUUAAGCUCUUCUCUUGUCCGCAAGGGAGUCUUGGUGUGGCGACGUCAUCUCCAAGGUCCAUUACUCUUCACGGAGUGUGGCCUUGAUGUUUAACUUAUUAACCCUUUUGAACUAACUUUGAUACCAUUAAUGAGUUCGAGCUUAACCACUCGAGCGAUUUAAUAAAUAACGCACAAUUCUUAGCAACGGAUAUCUCGGCUCUC
rnacentral:misc_RNA from 1 species